rnacentral:lncRNA from 1 species
UUCUGUGGGGACCUCCCUGGAAAUAGCAAUCCCCAAAAGGGGUUGUUCUUUCCUCGGGUAUGUAGUGGGAGAAGGAGACGUCCUUCGUUAUUACCACCAAUCAUAUCCCGAUUGGUCGAUGAGCUAUAUUAAUAACUCAUUGAUCAUAGGGUGGUUGAGCCAUGUGACUGAGGAAAAUAGUAGGAAACCUUGUUUCUUGCCCACAGUUGGGUUAUUGAGGUUCUCUCAAUCUUAGACUGAUUGAACUUCUGACCAAGAAUGUCCAUCGUCAAUCUGAGAGAAGGAAGAAAUUCCUUUGAUCUAUUCGGUGCUGGACUGUUGGCUAAUGAGAUCCCAUAUUUGCCUAAAAGGGCUUGUAUGGUAUCAAAUUGUCCGACAAUUCUUUGGUUCUCGAUACUUCUUUGUUGGAGGUAUGAGAUAUCCUUCUUUGGUCAGCCGAUUAGGUUACUAUAGAUCUUGGUUACUCUUUCCGUUGUCCUACUACUACAUAGUGUGGUUGGACUGCGAGUUUGAAUCCCGCAGAGUGACCUUCCCUUUAUGAUCACACCUUGCUUGGUGAUGAUAUCCUAAUCACCAAUAAGCAAGUGGCUCUUUCAGUACAGAAAAGUUACUGGAUAGACUCAGCGUUUGGACUUCUGAUUCAAAGUCACACAUCAGAAUAAGAAUGCUGGGUUUGCCAAAGGGAUGUUGGGGUAAAAUCCCAUCAUAUCACUGAGGCGAAUACUGUCCUGUAGGACAGCCUUUAAUCUGUGCCCUUUAACUGAUGAAUACCUGAUCGUAAUAGGUAUUUAGGAGUUAGUAGGGCUAGGAUUAAAGUCUUGUUCUCAUCUUCUCUCCAACCAUUUGGUAGGAUUGAGGAUGACUGUUAGUAAGCUUAACCGGUCACGUCCACUACCUUCAUAUAUUUGAUUGGAAGGAAAAAAAACCUCAAUCUAUGUUUGAAGGGAAAGAUAGUGGAUUUCUUCGAAGGAUAAAACCCAAGGAGAUACAUCUCUUUCUGUAGAUAUAGUGUUUAAUAGGGAUGGGCAUCAUUGGUCCCACUGUAACUCGUAAUGGGUGAGUAGUUCCAUAUGAUUUUUAGUACUAUACGGUUGUGUUCUCAAUCAAAGGUAUCUAUUAUCAUUUGAUGGAUGUGCCGUAUAUAGCACACUUGAAGGGUCCAACAAAGAUCUUGGUUUGAUCAAGUUCGGGCCUGAUCGAGACGUGUUAUAAUGUGGAAUCAGUGUGGGAUUGACGAUUACACCAAGGUACUCGGAAAUCUCUCACUGUCAUCCUCUUUGAUAAUGCAUAUUUGAAGGUUAUUCAAGAGGCAUCAGUAGACUUACCAUCUUCUGGUGAAAAGACGUAGUCUAUAAAGGAGCAAGCCAUAAGGACUCUGUAGAUCGCGAGAAUGCAUGUUCUAAUACUUGCACGGGCUCAUUUGCUUCCAACAAUCCAACAAAGUGAGUUUCACAGAAGGAAGGUGUAACACUCCGUAUUCAAGUACGUGUAUAGGCGUAUUCAAGUACGUGUAUUGGUCUUAUUUAUAUGGAAUUUAUUUUAUUUUAUUUUAUUUAUACUGGCACUCUACUCUCCAAUAGACGUUUCCUCACCUAGUCCCGGAGACCUAACCUCAAGGCUUAGAAAGAAUAAAGAUCGGGGAACCUGCUAGCGCAGAGAAUCAAUGCGCCAAAGCUAUCGGCGCUGACCGCGUCCAUCUUAUCUUCUACGGGGUAGGUAGAGAGGCUUUUGCUACAGCCGAUGGUCUUCGCCUUCGGUGACUUCUCCUGGAGGAUGGUCAAGUAAAAGUAGCCGCUCAACACUCACGAGGGAGAUAGCCUACGCUAAUCACGCACCUCCAAAGAGGCAUCGAGACUGACCCGUUGAUGAAGCCCGGAAUAAAGAGACUUCUCACUCCUGUUAGUGAGAGAGUGGUCACAGUUCGUCACCUCGGGGGCUUCUCUGAAAGAGAGGGUAAGGAUUAAGGCUAGGUUAGGUCUACUCCACAAGAGCAAUCAGAAAUAAAGGACAGAGAGUCCCCUGUGAAGAUUUAUAGGCCAGGGUAAAGAUAGAUCGAAAUUCGCGCUCGGGUGUGAAUUGGUAGCUCACAAUCUAUGAAUUCACAUCGCCAGAAGGCUUAUAAAGGAUAGACAAUUCCUUGGGUGACCGGGGGGCUCUCGAUAAGAGCACAACCUUUCGCCUCGACGAGGCUAGGCCAGAGUGGAAGCUCUCCGGAUAAAGUGCUGACCGCAAUCAGGGAGUUCCUACGCUUAACCAGAUUAUUAGUCUUGGAAAAACUCCUCGUCUGCACCUCCCAUAGAUAAUGCGACAUCGGUCGAGGUCGGUGGGAACAAUCAAUUUCCUUGCACAGUGACUCAUACAUGCUUUAUUUAAUUGUAAAUUUGGCGUCCGGGCUGCCCAGUUGGACUAUGUCAGACAAGUCCUGAGAGUCCGGUGUUCCGGGUUGUGCACAAGAGGGCUGGGGAUCAUUCUCAACAAUCGGCGGCUCUUGGAGAAGGGGCACCCGACUCACUCAUAACCUCAUUAGCAGGAUCGAUUUGUUGACGUUUUGCAGCAGGCUCGCAUGAGGGACCGUCUGACCUUGCUCGUUUCCUGAACAAUGCCCGACGGCAAACACAAUAAAAGGAUAAGGAUAAGGCAAGACAACAGACCAGAGCAGUAGACCCGGCAUAACAAAGAAGGUUUUCCAUUAUUUAACUAGUUUAAACUAGGUACGACCAGCGCGGUUGUUCAUCUUUCAUUUUAUUAUUCCAAACCAAGGGAAUUCUGUGGGGACCUCCCUGGAAAUAGCAAUCCCCAAAAGGGGUUGUUCUUUCCUCGGGUAUGUAGUGGGAGAAGGAGACGUCCUUCGUUAUUACCACCAAUCAUAUCCCGAUUGGUCGAUGAGCUAUAUUAAUAACUCAUUGAUCAUAGGGUGGUUGAGCCAUGUGACUGAGGAAAAUAGUAGGAAACCUUGUUUCUUGCCCACAGUUGGGUUAUUGAGGUUCUCUCAAUCUUAGACUGAUUGAACUUCUGACCAAGAAUGUCCAUCGUCAAUCUGAGAGAAGGAAGAAAUUCCUUUGAUCUAUUCGGUGCUGGACUGUUGGCUAAUGAGAUCCCAUAUUUGCCUAAAAGGGCUUGUAUGGUAUCAAAUUGUCCGACAAUUCUUUGGUUCUCGAUACUUCUUUGUUGGAGGUAUGAGAUAUCCUUCUUUGGUCAGCCGAUUAGGUUACUAUAGAUCUUGGUUACUCUUUCCGUUGUCCUACUACUACAUAGUGUGGUUGGACUGCGAGUUUGAAUCCCGCAGAGUGACCUUCCCUUUAUGAUCACACCUUGCUUGGUGAUGAUAUCCUAAUCACCAAUAAGCAAGUGGCUCUUUCAGUACAGAAAAGUUACUGGAUAGACUCAGCGUUUGGACUUCUGAUUCAAAGUCACACAUCAGAAUAAGAAUGCUGGGUUUGCCAAAGGGAUGUUGGGGUAAAAUCCCAUCAUAUCACUGAGGCGAAUACUGUCCUGUAGGACAGCCUUUAAUCUGUGCCCUUUAACUGAUGAAUACCUGAUCGUAAUAGGUAUUUAGGAGUUAGUAGGGCUAGGAUUAAAGUCUUGUUCUCAUCUUCUCUCCAACCAUUUGGUAGGAUUGAGGAUGACUGUUAGUAAGCUUAACCGGUCACGUCCACUACCUUCAUAUAUUUGAUUGGAAGGAAAAAAAACCUCAAUCUGUGUUUGAAGGGAAAGAUAGUGGAUUUCUCCGAAGGAUAAAACCCAAGGAGAUACAUCUCUUUCUGUAGAGAUGGUGUUUAAUAGGGAUGGGCAUCAUUGGUCCCACUGUAACCCGUAAUGGGUGAGUAGUUCCAUAUGAUGUUUAGUACUAUACGGUUGUGUGCUCAAUCAAAGGUAUCUAUUAUCAUUUGAUGGAUGUGCCGUAUAUAGCACACUUGAAGGGUCCAACAAAGAUCUUGGUUUGAUCAAGUUCGGGCCUGAUCGAGACGUGUUAUAAUGUGGAAUCAGUGUGGGAUUGACGAUUACACCAAGGUACUCGGAAAUCUCUCACUGUCAUCCUCUUUGAUAAUGCAUAUUUGAAGGUUAUUCAAGAGGCAUCAGUAGACUUACCAUCUUCUGGUGAAAAGACGUAGUCUAUAAAGGAGCAAGCCAUAAGGACUCUGUAGAUCGCGAGAAUGCAUGUUCUAAUGCUUGCACGGGCUCAUCUGCUUCCAACAAUCCAACAAAGUGAGUUUCACAGAAGGAAGGCUGGUUUGUCAAUGCUUGAACUGAUUGAUCUAAGUGAGCUACGAGGUUAGUCUUCUAAGAUCAACUUGCUUCAAAGUGCCCAAACAUUAUUUGUUAAUUGAAGGAAUGAUCCUAUCAGUGAUUAUGUACUAGGCUUAUCUAAUGAAUUGAGUCUUCCAAGAAAGGUUUCUAAUGAAUCUGCUAAUUGAGGUUCUAGAUUCGUUCAAAAGGCAGAAAGGAAUAGGCUAAGGGCCGUACCUUAAUGAUCCCUAACCAUAUUGAUGUUCCUGAGUUCUAGUCUUUCUGGUAGCCAAUGAUCUAAGGGAGCUAGCAGUGCAAAGAUACUCAAAAGUGGUACGCGCACAUAAAAAGCGGUUGGACGGUGUCUUUCUCUGUUUUGUUCCUUCCUCGGCAAGCUUGGGAGUUUCCUGAUGUAAGCUCCCUGGGUACGGUUUCGGAGUUUAUGUAAAUGCCCUAUCUUCAAAGGGAGCUGCUGACUUAAGGUAUCCCCUGAUCCGAGGGUGAGCUAGAAUUUCGUAUGGUGAAGAGGAAAGGAAGAAGUCAUUGUAAAGGAAGACGACAUUGACCAUUUCCGCUGCCUGCCUAAAGGCUUAUUGGUAGCUCUUAGGUUCUCUGUCAGUAGAGUGAUUGCCAAAACCUAGGUAUGUUUUCGGAGAAUAAUAAGAAGAGACGGUUGUAGCUUUUAGAGACUAUCCUCUGCAGCUGUAGCUACGUGGAAGCCAGCUGCUUAAAGACAAGCCCCCUAACCAUUCCGCUAUUCAUGCCCUAAAGCAAGGGAAUCCGCUCUGACCCACCACUAUGGUAGGAAUUGCCAGAUUUACAGUUUAUGAAUCCUUGUAAUACAAGUUCUUUCCUCUAACGAUGGCUACUUCCUAUUCAAGUGCCACUUAUCUUAACACAACUCGGGCUAAUCGACUCCCAGCCUAGCUAGACCUGGUGAAAGCAAUCAAGCCAAAGCAAGACUGAUUCCUUCAACGGUAAGAGCUGCAGAUGAAAUAGCAGUGGUUAUGCCGACAUUUUCCGUUAUCUUAUCGUUGGAUUACCGGAUUCCAUUCUUUCGGUU